rnacentral:rRNA from 1 species
UACGUAGGCAGCGAGCGUUGUUCGGAAUUACUGGGCGUAAAGCGUGCGUAGACGGUUUUGUAAGUCGGAUGUGAAAUCCCCGGGCUCAACCUGGGAAUUGCAUUCGAGACUGCAAGGCUUGGGUGCGGAAGAGGGAAGCGGAAUUUCCGGUGUAGCGGUGAAAUGCGUAGAUAUCGGAAGGAACAUCAGUGGCGAAAGCGGCUUCCUGGUCCAGCACCGACGUUCAGGCACGAAAGCGUGGGGAGCAAACAGG